GAUGAACGCUGGCGGCGUGCCUAAUACAUGCAGGUCGAGCGAACAGAUGAGGAGCUUGCUCCUCUGACGUUAGCGGCGGACGGGUGAGUAACACGUGGAUAACCUACCUAUAAGACUGGGAUAACUUCGGGAAACCGGAGCUAAUACCGGAUAAUAUAUUGAACCGCAUGGUUCAAUAGUGAAAGACGGUUUUGCUGUCACUUAUAGAUGGAUCCGCGCCGCAUUAGCUAGUUGGUAAGGUAACGGCUUACCAAGGCGACGAUGCGUAGCCGACCUGAGAGGGUGAUCGGCCACACUGGAACUGAGACACGGUCCAGACUCCUACGGGAGGCAGCAGUAGGGAAUCUUCCGCAAUGGGCGAAAGCCUGACGGAGCAACGCCGCGUGAGUGAUGAAGGUCUUCGGAUCGUAAAACUCUGUUAUUAGGGAAGAACAAAUGUGUAAGUAACUAUGCACGUCUUGACGGUACCUAAUCAGAAAGCCACGGCUAACUACGUG
rnacentral:rRNA from 1 species